rnacentral:rRNA from 1 species
UACGAAGGGGACUAGCGUUGUUCGGAAUCACUGGGCGUAAAGCGCACGUAGGCGGAUUUGUAAGUCAGGGGUGAAAUCCCUGAGCUCAACUCAGGAACUGCACUCGAAACUACUUGUCUUGAGUACCGGAGAGGAAAGCGGAAUACCUGGUGUAGAGGUGAAAUUCGUAGAUAUCAGGUGGAACACCAGUGGCGAAGGCGGCUUUCUGGACGGUAACUGACGCUGAGACGCGAAAGCGUGGGGAGCAAACAGG